AGUAUUAUAUACGAAAGUUAGACAAAAUACGGAACAAACAUCGUCGUAAGCGACGACGUUUAGAGGAUUCAACAUCUUCCUCAGGCCAGGAUAAUCAACAAGGGGACAAUUAUGUAAUGGAGAAUCACGAAGAUUCUCAUCACGGCUUGGUGCCUGAUGAAGUAAUUACCGAAGGCUUGUCGGAGUCUGCUAUGACUCAACAAAUGGAGCAGUCUGUAGCACCAGCACCGG
rnacentral:misc_RNA from 1 species